rnacentral:rRNA from 1 species
UCAAGCGACUAAGUGUAUGUGGUGGAUGCCUUGGCGAUUACAGGCGAAGAAGGACGUCGCAGCCUGCGAAAAGCCGUGGGGAGCUGGCAAGCGAGCACUGAUCCACGGAUGUCCGAAUGAGGGAACUCACCCGCAAGGGUAUCUUGAAGUGAAUACAUAGCUUCAAGAGGCGAACGCAGCGAACUGAAACAUCUAAGUAGCUGCAGGAAAAGAAAUCAACCGAGAUUCUGAAAGUAGCGGCGAGCGAAAUUGGAAGAGCCUGCAAGUGAUAUUGAAUUCGAUACUGGAACGGUCUGGAAAGUCCGGCUACAGAGGGUGACAGCCCCGUACGGGAAAUUGGGUUCAAGGUACUGAGCUUGCGAGAAGUAGAGCGGGACACGUGAAAUCCUGCUCGAAGAUGGGGGGACCAUCCUCCAAGGCUAAAUACUCGUAAUCGACCGAUAGCGAACCAGUACUGUGAAGGAAAGGCGAAAAGAACCCCGGGAGGGGAGUGAAAUAGAUCCUGAAACCGCAUACAUACAAACAGUAGGAGCCCGCAAGGGUGACUGCGUACCUUUUGCAUAAUGGGUCAGCGACUUACGUUCAAUGGCAAGCUUAACCGAGUAGGGGAGGCGCAGCGAAAGCGAGUCCGAACAGGGCGACAUGAGUCGUUGGGCGUAGACCCGAAACCAGAUGAUCUAUCCAUGGCCAGGCUGAAGGUGUGGUAACACACACUGGAGGGCCGAACCGACUAGUGUUGCAAAAUUAGCGGAUGAGCUGUGGAUAGGGGUGAAAGGCUAAACAAAUCUGGAGAUAGCUGGUUCUCCCCGAAAACUAUUGAGGUAGUGCCUCGUGUAUGGCUCCAGGGGGUAGAGCACUGUUAUGGCUAGGGGGACAUGGCGUCUUACCAAACCAUGGCAAACUCCGAAUACUUGGAAGUCUGAGCACGGGAGACAGAGCACCGGGUGCUAACGUCCGGACUCAAAAGGGAAACAACCCAGACCGCCGGCUAAGGUCCCUAAUAUUGACUAAGUGGAAAACGAAGUGGGAAGGCUAAGACAGUCAGGAAGUUGGCUUAGAAGCAGCCAUCCUUCAAAGAAAGCGUAAUAGCUCACUGAUCGAGUCUUCCUGCGCGGAAGAUGUAACGGGGCUAAGUCAAUAACCGAAGCCGCGGAUUCGCAGCAAUGCGAGUGGUAGGGGAGCGUUCUGUAAGCCUGCGAAGGCGGAUCUGCGAGGACCGCUGGAGGUAUCAGAAGUGCGAAUGCUGACAUGAGUAACGUUAAAGCGGGUGAAAAGCCCGCUCGCCGCAAGCCCAAGGUUUCCUGCUCUACGUUCAUCGGAGCAGGGUGAGUCGGCCCCUAAGGUCAGGCUGAGAAGCGUAGCUGAUGGGAAGCUGGUUAAUAUUCCAGCACCGAUUUCAAGUGCGAAGGGGGGACGGAGUCCUGAAGGUCAUCCGGGUGUUGGAUAUCCCGGUUUACGAGCGUAGGAGGUUGACAGGCAAAUCCGUCAACGAAUCUCCAAGGCGAAGGAUCGAGGUUGAGAGAUCAACUGAAGUGACUGAAUGGGCUUCCAGGAAAAGCCUCUAAGCAUCAGCUUGGAAUUGACCGUACCGCAAACCGACACUGGUGGGCGAGCUGAAUAUGCUCAGGCGCUUGAGAGAACUCAGGAGAAGGAACUCGGCAAAUUGACACCGUAACUUCGGGAUAAGGUGUGCCUUUGUAGUGUGAAGGGAGAAACACCCCGAGCAUGAAGAGGCCUCAGAGAAUCGGUGGCUGCAACUGUUUACUAAAAACACAGCACUCUGCAAAGAUGAAAGUCGACGUAUAGGGUGUGAUGCCUGCCCGGUGCUGGAAGAUUAAUUGAUGGGGUGCAAGCUCCUGAUCGAAGUCCCAGUAAACGGCGGCCGUAACUAUAACGGUCCUAAGGUAGCGAAAUUCCUUGUC